CAGGCCUAACACAUGCAAGUCGAGCGCUUGGGGUGUUCCCUUACGGGAAACCCCCUGGAGCGGCGGACGGGUGAGUAACACGUAGGCAACCUGCCUGUAAGAUCGGGAUAACUACCGGAAACGGUAGCUAAGACCGGAUAGCUGGUUUCUCCGCAUGGAGGGAUCAUGAAACAUGGGGCAACCUAUGGCUUACGGAUGGGCCUGCGGCGCAUUAGCUAGUUGGUGGGGUAACGGCCCACCAAGGCGACGAUGCGUAGCCGACCUGAGAGGGUGAUCGGCCACACUGGGACUGAGACACGGCCCAGACUCCUACGGGAGGCAGCAGUAGGGAAUCCUCCGCAAUGGGCGCAAGCCUGACGGAGCAACGCCGCGUGAGUGAUGAAGGUUUUCGGAUCGUAAAGCUCUGUUGCCAAGGAAGAACGCCUCGGAGAGUAACUGCUCUGAGGGUGACGGUACUUGAGAAGAAAGCCCCGGCUAACUACGUGCCAGCAGCCGCGGUAAUACGUAGGGGGCAAGCGUUGUCCGGAAUUAUUGGGCGUAAAGCGCGCGCAGGCGGUCUUUUAAGUUUGGUGUUUAAGCCCGGGGCUCAACCCCGGUUCGCACUGAAAACUGGGAGACUUGAGUGCAGGAGAGGAAAGCGGAAUUCCACGUGUAGCGGUGAAAUGCGUAGAGAUGUGGAGGAACACCAGUGGCGAAGGCGGCUUUCUGGACUGUAACUGACGCUGAGGCGCGAAAGCGUGGGGAGCAAAC
rnacentral:rRNA from 1 species